ensembl:ncRNA C41G11.8 ncRNA
AAACGAAGGGAAAUCGCAAUGCCGAAAGCUCAUCUCAUCACAAAGACGUUUUCCUUCUUUCGGCUCCCCCUUCUAAAUUAACCUCGUUAGGAAGAAAGACGAGAGGCGGAGAAAGC